rnacentral:rRNA from 1 species
AACGAACGCUGGCGGCAGGCCUAACACAUGCAAGUCGAGCGGGGGAGCAAUCCCUAGCGGCGGACGGGUUAGUAACGCGUGGAACAUACCCUUUGGUACGGAAUAGCCUCGGGAAACUGAGAGUAAUACCGUAUGUGCCCUUCGGGGAAAGAUUUAUCGCCAAAGGAUUGGCCCGCGUUGGAUUAGGUAGUUGGUGGGGUAAUGGCCUACCAAGCCGACGAUCCAUAGCUGGUUUGAGAGGAUGAUCAGCAACACUGGGACUGAGACACGGCCCAGACUCCUACGGGAGGCAGCAGUGGGGAAUCUUAGACAAUGGGCGAAAGCCUGAUCUAGCCAUGCCGCGUGGACGAUGAAGGCCUUAGGGUUGUAAAGUCCUUUCAGAUGGGAAGAUAAUGACGGUACCAUCAGAAGAAGCCCCGGCUAACUCCGUGCCAGCAGCCGCGGUAAU